CACUCAGAUUUCUUUCCAUUACAAGUAAACUGAAAUCUUGGGUAUAGUAUGAUAAUAUAUGGUAACAAUUUAAUUUUAUUCUAUUCACCUCCUUUUCCCCAUGGCACUCUCCAGUCCCUUUUCUACCCCAUAAGCAACCAUUCUCAUUUCUGUGCGUCCUUUUGAUUGUGUUCUUGUGCAAAAUAUGUGCAGUUCUAUACAUAUAUUUUUAAUUUAUAUAAAUUAUAUUGUGUCAUAAAAUUCACUCUGGUGUUUGUUUUCUUCAUUCAGGAGUAUAUUUUUAAGAUUCAGCAGUACAUCUCAUUUGUUUUAUAGAAUUCUAUUUUCUGCGCUCAAUAUUUUACCUGUCUCCUCUUUCCAUCUGCUAUGCCAAUAACAACCAAACGAACAUCUUCAUACAUUUCUGUUCAUAGACAUAUCUGAGAAUUUCUUCGGAAUACAUAACCAAGAGAAAUUAUUUCAUAGAAAAUGUGUAUAUUUAAAUUUAAAUGUAUGUAUGACUGGGUCACCUUGCUAUACAGUAGAAAAUUGACAUAACACUGUAAACCACUGUAAUAGAAAAAAUAAAAAUCGUUUAAUAAAUAAAUAAAUUUAAAUAUACCUAACGCUGCAAGUGCAGCCAAUUUUUUUUUUUUUUUUUUUUUUUUUUUUUUGCUUUUUAGGGCUACACUGGCUGCAUAUGGAGAUUCCCAGGCUAGGGAUCUAAUUGGCGCUAUAGCUGCUGGCCUACGCCAGAACCACAGCAAUGCCAGAUCUGAGCUGUGUCUGCAACCUACACCACAGCUCAUGGCAACACCAGAUCCUUAACCCACUGAGUGAGGCCAGGGAUGGAACCUGCAACCUCAAGGUUACUAGUCAACUUGUUUCCACUGUGCCACAAGGAACUCCCAAAAUUUUUAAAUUAUACUUAAAUUUAAUAUAGGCAGGUUGACCUCCAGAAUGUACUCUAUUACAAAGAGUUGCAGAUGAGAUUUUUGUGCAACCACUUUCUCUUCAUUUGGAUGACUCAUCACCAUAAGUUCUGCUAGUGUAUUAAAUGUAUAGUAGAAUCUUAUUUUAUUAAAUUUUGCUGAUUUUCUCUCUCUCUUUUUUUUUUUUUUUUUUGUCUUUUGUCUUUUUAGGGCUGCACUUGUGGCAUAUGUAGGUUCCAGGCUAGGGGUUGAAUUGGAGCUACAGCUGCUGACCCAUGCCACAGCCACAACAAGGCAGGAUCUGAGUGGUGUCUGCAAUCUACACCAUAGCUCACGGUGUAAAAGUUCCCACUGUGGCUCGGUGUAAUGAACCCAACUGGUAUCCAUGAGGAUUCGGGUUCCAUCCCUGGUCUCACUCAGUGGGUUGAGGAUCUGGCAUUGCUGUGAGCUAUAGUGUAGGUCACAGACAUGACUCGGAUCUGGCACUGCUGUGGCUGUGGUGUAGGCUGGCAGCUGUAGUACCCAUUCAACCCCUAGCCAUAUGCCACUAGCACAGCCCUAAAGACAGAAACAAACAAACAAAAAACCCAAAAACAAACAAACACUAAAAGGCAAAAAGUGAGAGACAUUUUAGCACAUCUUUAUAAUAAAAGACUCAGAUUCAUCCCUAACACCCAUGCAUUCUUCAAGGGUGAGCUGUUGAACCCUUUGGUUCCACCCAUAGAUAUAAUCCUCAAAUGAGCGCAUAAGACGUGUUCUAGACUGAUCUCAUCACCACUAACUGUGACAACCAAGAAUAGGGAAAUUACCCAAUACUCACCAAUAAUGGAAUGAAUAGAUAGAUUUUGGUAUGUUUACACACUACAAUGACAUCCGCCAGUGAAAGUGAAUCAAAGUUGUCCACACCCAAUAAUACAGAUGAAUCUCAUGGGUAUAAUGUCGAGCAAAUGAAGCCAACACAAAAUAGUACAUAUUGUAUGACUCCACUUAUACAAAGUAAAAAACAGGCUAAAUGAAGUUAUACCACUUCAAAUUAGUGGCUACCAUCCAGAAAGGGAGGUUACUAGAAAGAGCCAAAAGGGGUAUUUCUAAGGCUUGGGGUUUGCCCUGGUCCUCCAAGAACUAGAUGGCAAGAUGCUAAGAGAGAAUUUAAUGAACAUUUUUUUUUGGCUGCACCUGCAGUAUAUGGAAGUUCCCAGGCUAGGGGUUGAGUUAGAGUUACAGCUGCUAACCUACACCACAGCUAACCACGCCGGAUCCUUAACACACUGAGCGAGGCCAGGAAUCGAACUGCAGCCUCACGGAUACUAGUCAGGCUUGUUGCUGCUGAGCCACAAUGGGAAAUUCUUGAACAAAUAUUUUAUUAGGGGAAAUAUUUGAGGGGAAAUGGCAGGGAGCUCUGAGAGGCUGGCAGAACCAUCUACUCACAGUGCAGGUCUGACCUUGAGCAAAGAGCUGGAAGAAUUAUUUGGUAAAUAACCCUAGACUGCCUUGUAAUCUAAGUAAAAUCCUCAAUGCUGUCAGGAAGUCCUUGGGAAAAAAAGUCAAUGCACAGAAGAAUCCUGGUCUUCCAAGAAAUGGCCUUUGGAUCACUGUUGUGUCGACAAAGGAAAAUCAGGUGAAAGACUUGCCUUUGUGCAAAUGUGGUGAUGCACCUGAGAGCAGCAGCUGGGACUUUGCGUCAGUUUUGCUCCUUGUAGACAUAACUGUGAAGCGGGAAAGUCUCUCAAUUUGGGCAUUUCUUAGUGAUUAGAUCUGGUUGUGUAUUUUUGGCAGUAAUAAUACUGAAGCAACAUGGUGUCUUCUCAGUACAUCAUAUCAGGAGGUCUGAAAUGUUGGUCAGUUUCAUUACUGAUAAUGUUCAUCUUUGUGGGGGUUCCUGUCAUGGCUCAGUGAAAAAAACUUUGACUAGCAUUCAUGAGGACACAGGUUUGAUCCCUGGCCUCGCUCAGUGGGUUAAGGAUCCGGUGUUGCCACAAGCCAUGGUGUAGGUCACAAUGCGGCCUGGAUCUGGCAUUCCUAUGGCUGUGGUAUAGACCAGCAGCUACAGCUCUGAUUCAACCCCUAGUCUGGGAACCUCCAUAUGCCAUGGGUGUGGCCCUAAAAAGACAAAAAUAUAUAAAUAUUAAAUAUUUUUUGAAAUGUUUGUCUUUUUAGACAAGAAAAAUAUACCGCACCUGUGGUAUAUGUUCAUUUUUUUUUUUUCUCUUUAGGGCCGUAUCCACACCCAGAGUAUGUGCAAAUUCCCAGGCUAGGGGUCGAAUUGGAGCUGCAACUGCCAUUCAUAGCCACAGCCACGUAUGAUCUGAGCCUUUUCUGUGACCUACACCACAGCUCAAAGCAACGCUGGAUUGUAACCCACUGAGUGAGGCCAGGGAUCAAACCUGUACCUUCAUGGAUACUAGUCGGGUUCAUUGCCACUGAGCCACAAUGGAGACUCUUGAUAAAGUGCUAAGAUAGUGUUCACCAAAUUUAUACCUACUUACUAUAUUUCCUUUGGUAAUUAACACUACCUUGUAGAGAGAUAUUCUGGGGUUUAAAGUAUCCUGUUCCUCAUUAACUUUCAACCAGCUGUUGCACAAUUCCUUAAUUAUUCUUGCCAGAAUCAAUAAUCUCUGUGGCGGUUGCAAAUGAUGAUUUUUUUUGGCCCCACCCUCAGAAUGUGGAAGUUCUCCAGCCAAGGAUCAAACCUGCACCACAGCAGUGACCUGAGUCACAGCAGUGACACCACCAGAUCCUUAACCUGCUAGGUCACCAGGAAACUCCAAAAAUAAUGAUUUUUAAACUACAUCAUUUCUUCUAUAUUUAUGGUUUGGCAUUUUACUAGGCAGCCCUUACUUUAUUCCCUCCCUAUUUUCUUUUUUAAAUUCAUAUCAUUAUAUGAAUAAUUAUUUAUUUUUAUGGUCAAAUUGCUCAUAUUUACCCAGCGUGAGCCUCUUCAUCCUGGACCUUUUAACAUGUGCCACUGCUUCUUCCUACUUGCUGGCACAGCAAACUUUUUCCAGAAAUAUUUUGUACUUUCCUUGCUCCAGCCUGAAACAGGUAUGUGGAUACACAGACUUAUAUACACCACAUACACAUUUGUGUAUCUACUAUGCAUGUCUAUAUCUACUUCAGUAAAUAUCUAGCACAUUCCAUCUCUCUCUCUCUCACACACACACACACAGUAUUUACUAUUACAAAAUUCCUCUGCAUAUAAGUGGACUUGCCCAGUUCAAACCCAUCUUUUUGUCUUUUUAGGGCCACACCUGUGGCAUAUGGAGGUUCCCUGGCUAGGGGUUGAAUCAGAGCUACAGCCUUGGGCCUACACUACAGCCACACCAACAUCAGAUGUGAGCCGCAUCUGUGACCUACACCAUGGCUCAUGGCAAUGCCAGAUCCUUAACCCACUUAGCAAGGCCAGGGAUCAAACCUGCAUUCUCAUGAAUACUAGUUGGGCUUGUUACUGCUGAGCCACAAAGGGAACUUCCCAAAGCCAUCCUGUUCAAAGGUCAGUUGUAACUUGCUGAGUAAAGCUCUUUAACCAACUACACUGAAAACAUCACCAUUGUGUCUCAGUAUGGAAUGUCAUCCAAACCUGCUUUGUCCUUCCUGGUUCCACAUUCAGAGGGUUCUCUGCUAUUAUGCUAUGUUCUCUCAUGCACAUCUUUUCAACAGGGAAUCUUUUUUUAAAAAAAUACCCCCACAAUGUAUGCAUAUCCUUUUUUUCCCCUAGCUCUAUGUUAUGGAUUUAUAGUUAAAGCACAGCAUAAAUUAUAAAGCUUUGAUUGGUGAAAUUCAUCAAUUUAUCUGUAUAUGCAAUACAAUUUGAGAAUAUUUUUUUUUGAAAUUGGCUUCUAGAAUCCAUACUGCAAUUUUCUUACAUGCCAUGUGACAAUAUAGAACAAUCGUAUUAUGAGGUCUUAACUACAAGGAAUAAUUAUUUAGUACUUUUCCAAAUUCUACUGUAAUAAUUUACUGCCUUAGUAUUCUCACUGGUCAAUGAAAAAACUGAAACAUGAGAUGAAAUUCAAAUGGAUGGAGUUCCCUGGUGGCUUCGUGGGUUAAGGAUCCAGUAUUGUCAGUGCUAUGGCACAGGUUUGAUCCCUGGCCCAGGAACUUCCA
rnacentral:lncRNA from 1 species